AAUUGAACGCUGGCGGCGUGCUUAACACAUGCAAGUCGUGCGGUAACAGGCGUAGCAAUACGUGCUGACGAGCGGCGAACGGGUGCGUAAUACAUGGGAAUCUGCCUUUUAGUGGGGAAUAACCCGGCGAAAGCCGGGCUAAUGCCGCAUAAGAUCUUCGGAUGAAAGCGGGGGAUCGUAAGACCUCGCGCUGAUAGAUGAGCCCAUGCCGGAUUAGCUAGUUGGUGAGGUAACGGCUCACCAAGGCGACGAUCCGUAGCUGGUCUGAGAGGACGGCCAGCCACACUGGGACUGAGACACGGCCCAGACUCCUACGGGAGGCAGCAGUGGGGAAUAUUGGACAAGUGGGGAGACCCUGAUCCAGCGACGCGCGUGUGUGAAGAAGGCCUGCGGGUU
rnacentral:rRNA from 1 species